GUCCACGCUGUAAACGAUGGAUACUAGGUGUAGGGGUAUCGACCCCCUGUGCCGCAGUUAACACAAUAAGUAUCCCACCUGGGGAGUACGGCCGCAAGGUUGAAACUCAAAGGAAUUGACGGGGCCCGCACAAGCAGUGGAGUAUGUGGUUUAAUUCGAAGCAACGCGAAGAACCUUACCAAGGCUUGACAUAUUAGUGAAUAUGGCAGAAAUGUCAUAGCCCUUCGGGGCACUAUUACAGGUGGUGCAUGGUUGUCGU
rnacentral:rRNA from 1 species